AAAUUGAAGAGUUUGAUCAUGGCUCAGAUUGAACGCUGGCGGCAGGCCUAACACAUGCAAGUCGAACGGUAACAGGAAGCAGCUUGCUGCUUUGCUGACGAGUGGCGGACGGGUGAGUAAUGUCUGGGAAACUGCCUGAUGGAGGGGGAUAACUACUGGAAACGGUGGCUAAUACCGCAUAAUGUCGCAAGACCAAAGAGGGGGACCUUCGGGCCUCUUGCCAUCAGAUGUGCCCAGAUGGGAUUAGCUUGUUGGUGAGGUAACGGCUCACCAAGGCGACGAUCCCUAGCUGGUCUGAGAGGAUGACCAGCCACACUGGAACUGAGACACGGUCCAGACUCCUACGGGAGGCAGCAGUGGGGAAUAUUGCACAAUGGGCGCAAGCCUGAUGCAGCCAUGCCGCGUGUAUGAAGAAGGCCUUCGGGUUGUAAAGUACUUUCAGCGGGGAGGAAGGUGUUGUGGUUAAUAACCACAGCAAUUGACGUUACCC
rnacentral:rRNA from 2 species